CGCAGGAGCUUAGAAGUUCUUCUAUUUCGCACACAAUCAGCAAGGAUUGGACAUGGAUGUCCAAUCAAGCAGCAAUCGAGCCCGGAUGGCUCGUUGAUGCGUUUGCGUCCCUUUUCAGCCAAACAUGCCGAAAUAGUUAGAACUUCUUAGUUCCGCAG
rnacentral:ncRNA from 1 species